CUGGGACUCAAACAGAUAUAUGUAUCUGUAUAUGUUUAUCACAGUAAAAAAACAAAAUAUGUAUAUACAGGAAAAGAAAGAACUAAUGUAAAGGAACACCCUCAGUGUACUCCCACACUUUCCCUAAGCUCAGACAAUUGAGGGUAGCUGAGUAAAUGUCAAAGUUUGGUGAAUCAGAAUCACAAGAGUAGUCAAGGUGAGGGGUCGAUGCUCUUGGUGAAGGGAGGUACUGGUGAUGCUUCUCCACCCCACAGAGAAUCAAGAAGGGUCAGAGUUGCUUAAAUGCACAAAGUAAUAAAAUCACAUUCAGCAGAAAGAGACAUAGAAAGCAAAGGUAACAGAGCUUCCAAGCCAGUGUGGACGUUAUAGAUAGUCAGGCGAGACAAGGUAAUAGAGAACUACAGAGUGUUGUCUGGGAAAUGUGGCAUAGCCUUGAUUGGUCACUGAUGUGGUGGUGAUGUGUAAGCCCAGAGGUUAUUUAGAAAUUGCCCUGGUCCACAUAAUUGGCGGAGCUUAUGUGAGUGGGGUGUUUAGGGUUAGGCUGUUCAUGGCACUUCACACAAAGCUGAAUCUAUUCUAUCAUCCAGCUAGUCAAGAGACAGAAUGAGAGGUGAGGAUUUGGGGCUGGACUGAGAAAAUACAUUCAGGCAGAGAACACGUGGAUACAUUCUUCUGAGUAAAUGUAUAAGACCUUUGUUUUUACACCUACAGGUAAGAUUUAGAGGACAAAGGUAACCAAAAGUGUAUCAGGCUGUCAGAUGAAACCUCCCUGCUGAGUCCUCCUGCAUGGGGAAGUAGAAUAUGAAUCUGCCUCGUUGGAUCACACAGGAGGCUCGGGGAUACCAUAUCACUCUCUAAGUCUAGGGAUGAAAGUCUGAGGCAUUUUUCCACUGUAGACACCAAACCAGGUAUGGACAGAAUGCAAAGGAGACUCCAAGUCUGUCUGGAUUUUGUUUUCUGAAAGCUGAAGGCUAGAAGAAUUUGAAGAAAUGAUGGAAAAAUUAAAA